rnacentral:rRNA from 2 species
GAUGAACGCUAGCGGGAGGCUUAACACAUGCAAGUCGAGGGGCAGCAUAGGGUAGCAAUACUCUGAUGGCGACCGGCAAACGGGUGAGUAACGCGUAUGUAACCUACCCUGUACAGGGGGAUAACCCGGAGAAAUUCGGACUAAUAUCCCAUAACAAUAUCCGGGGGCAUCUUUGGAUAUUUAAAGUUCCGGCGGUACGGGAUGGGCAUGCGUAACAUUAGCUAGUUGGUAAGGUAACGGCUUACCAAGGCUUUGAUGUUUAGGGGUCCUGAGAGGGUGGUCCCCCACACUGGUACUGAGACACGGACCAGACUCCUACGGGAGGCAGCAGUGAGGAAUAUUGGUCAAUGGGCGCAAGCCUGAACCAGCCAUCCCGCGUGCAGGAAGACGGCGCUAUGCGUUGUAAACUGCUUUUCCAGGGAGAGAAACUUGCGCACGUGUUGCGCAAUUGACGGUACCCUGGGAAUAAGCAUCGGCUAACUCCGUG